rnacentral:ncRNA from 1 species
AUUUAUAAGAAUAUGAUGUUGGUUCAGAUUAAGCGCUAAAUAAGGACAUGACACAUGCGAAUCAUACGUUUAUUAUUGAUAAGAUAAUAAAUAUGUGGUGUAAACGUGAGUAAUUUUAUUAGGAAUUAAUGAACUAUAGAAUAAGCUAAAUACUUAAUAUAUUAUUAUAUAAAAAUAAUUUAUAUAAUAAAAAGGAUAUAUAUAUAAUAUAUAUUUAUCUAUAGUCAAGCCAAUAAUGGUUUAGGUAGUAGGUUUAUUAAGAGUUAAACCUAGCCAACGAUCCAUAAUCGAUAAUGAAAGUUAGAACGAUCACGUUGACUCUGAAAUAUAGUCAAUAUCUAUAAGAUACAGCAGUGAGGAAUAUUGGACAAUGAUCGAAAGAUUGAUCCAGUUACUUAUUAGGAUGAUAUAUAAAAAUAUUUUAUUUUAUUUAUAAAUAUUUAAUAUUUAUAAUAAUAAUAAUAAUAAUAUAUAUAUAUAAAUUGAUUAAAAAUAAAAUCCAUAAAUAAUUAAAAUAAUGAUAUUAAUUACCAUAUAUAUUUUAUAUGGAUAUAUAUAUUAAUAAUAAUAUUAAUUUAUUAUUAUUAAUAAUAUAUUUUAAUAGUCCUGACUAAUAUUUGUGCCAGCAGUCGCGGUAACACAAAGAGGGCGAGCGUUAAUCAUAAUGGUUUAAAGGAUCCGUAGAAUGAAUUAUAUAUUAUAAUUUAGAGUUAAUAAAAUUAAUUAAAGAAUUAUAAUAGUAAAGAUGAAAUAAUAAUAAUAAUUAUAAGACUAAUAUAUGUGAAAAUAUUAAUUAAAUAUUAACUGACAUUGAGGGAUUAAAACUAGAGUAGCGAAACGGAUUCGAUACCCGUGUAGUUCUAGUAGUAAACUAUGAAUACAAUUAUUUAUAGUAUAUAUUAUAUAUAAAUAAUAAAUGAAAAUGAAAGUAUUCCACCUGAAGAGUACGUUAGCAAUAAUGAAACUCAAAACAAUAGACGGUUACAGACUUAAGCAGUGGAGCAUGUUAUUUAAUUCGAUAAUCCACGACUAACCUUACCAUAUUUUGAAUAUUAUAAUAAUUAUUAUAAUUAUUAUAUUACAGGCGUUACAUUGUUGUCUUUAGUUCGUGCUGCAAAGUUUUAGAUUAAGUUCAUAAACGAACAAAACUCCAUAUAUAUAAUUUUAAUUAUAUAUAAUUUUAUAUUAUUUAUUAAUAUAAAGAAAGGAAUUAAGACAAAUCAUAAUGAUCCUUAUAAUAUGGGUAAUAGACGUGCUAUAAUAAAAUGAUAAUAAAAUUAUAUAAAAUAUAUUUAAUUAUAUUUAAUUAAUAAUAUAAAACAUUUUAAUUUUUAAUAUAUUUUUUUAUUAUAUAUUAAUAUGAAUUAUAAUCUGAAAUUCGAUUAUAUGAAAAAAGAAUUGCUAGUAAUACGUAAAUUAGUAUGUUACGGUGAAUAUUCUAACUGUUUCGCACUAAUCACUCAUCACGCGUUGAAACAUAUUAUUAUCUUAUUAUUUAUAUAAUAUUUUUUAAUAAAUAUUAAUAAUUAUUAAUUUAUAUUUAUUUAUAUCAGAAAUAAUAUGAAUUAAUGCGAAGUUGAAAUACAGUUACCGUAGGGGAACCUGCGGUGGGCUUAUAAAUAUC